CUGCGGAUUACUGUUCUCGCUGUUCUGAUUUUGUGAUAAUCAGGGCAGGCUAAACAUUCGCUCUAUUAAGACCACACAUGUGUCCCCAGACCUAGUUCUCUCCCUAUGUCUGGUGUUAGAAAUGCUGGUGAUAACA
ensembl:snoRNA SNORA72 Small nucleolar RNA SNORA72